GACGAACGCUGGCGGCGUGCCUAACACAUGCAAGUCGAACGAAGCUUGACGAAUGAUUUCUUCGGAAUGAAAUCUGAUAUGACUGAGUGGCGGACGGGUGAGUAACGCGUGAGCAACCUGCCCUUCGGAACGGGAUAGUGUCUGGAAACGGACAGUAAUACCGUAUAACGUAUUUUUACCGCAUGAUAGAAAUACCAAAACUGAGGUGCCGAAGGAUGGGCUCGCGUCUGAUUAGAUAGUUGGUGGGGUAACGGCCUACCAAGUCGACGAUCAGUAGCCGGACUGAGAGGUUGAACGGCCACAUUGGGACUGAGACACGGCCCAGACUCCUACGGGAGGCAGCAGUGGGGAAUAUUGCACAAUGGGGGAAACCCUGAUGCAGCAACGCCGCGUGAAGGAAGACGGUUCUCGGAUUGUAAACUUCUGUUCUUAGUGAAGAAUAAUGACGGUAGCUAAGGAGCAAGCCACGGCUAACUACGUGCCAGCCGCCGCAGUAA
rnacentral:rRNA from 1 species